GACGAACGCUGGCGGCGUGCUUUACACAUGCGAGUCGAACGGAAAGGCCCUGCUUUUGUGGGGUGCUCGAGUGGCGAACGGGUGAGUAACACGUGAGUAACCUGCCCUUGACUUUGGGAUAACCUCAGGAAACUGGGGCUAAUACCGGAUAGGAGCUCCUGCUGCAUGGUGGGGGUUGGAAAGUUUCGGCGGUUGGGGAUGGACUCGCGGCUUAUCAGCUUGUUGGUGGGGCAGUGGCUUACCAAGGCUUUGACGGGUAGCCGGCCUGAGAGGGUGACCGGCCACAUUGGGACUGAGAUACGGCCCAGACUCCUACGGGAGGCAGCAGUGGGGAAUAUUGCACAAUGGGCGGAAGCCUGAUGCAGCAACGCCGCGUGCGGGAUGACGGCCUUCGGGUUGUAAACCGCUUUCGCCUGUGACGAAGCGUGAGUGACGGUAAUGGGUAAAGAAGCACCGGCUAACUACGUG
rnacentral:rRNA from 1 species